AAUAUGCCUUACAGCCAACUCCAAACACUUUGGAAAGGAACCAAAAACCUCAAGAUGCUGAAGAGGAUCAACCUGCGCCAUUCACAGAAUCUGCUUGAAGUUGAUGAACUUUCAGAAGCUCGAAACCUUGAGAAACUUGAUCUUUGCGGCUGUAAGAACUUGAAAAGAUUCCCUGACAUUCAUCAGUUGCAUCAACUUAGAGUCGUUGAUCUCUCUGGUUGCACACAAGUCCAAAGUUUCCCAGAAUUUCCAUCUAAUGUCGAAUUGAAAUUCGAGGUAUCAUCCAUUAAGACCAUCUUUCCUCCGGUCACACUAUUUGUUAAGAGUUUACACGAAUUCUUAGACAAUCAGCGAAAACCCGUUUUACAAACACCUGAGCCCCAUAUCUUAGACUUCCUGAAACUCAGAAGCUUCCAAAGUAGCCAAGGAAGGAUAACAAAUCCAGACUUGGUAGAAUCACCGCCUACAUUUAAAAGAAAGAUAUGUCAAAAAGCACUCGAGAUGAGCCAAAGUCUUCAGCGGGGGUUGACUAAUCUAAAUUUAGAAUAUGAUGUGUUCAAGAUCCGUCCUUUGGAGAAUUUGAUGUUCACAAAGCUCAAGGAGGAGACGUCCUAAUUCCUGUCACCUGCAAUCAGUAAACAUCUCAAGUCUUUUGACUGUUUCUUGUCAAACACUCAUAUGAAAUCCAAAAGUGUUCUUGCUUGUGCGUC